UACACGCCCCUGGAAACGGGGUCUAAUACCGGAUACUGAUCAUCUUGGGCAUCCUUGGUGAUCGAAAGCUCCGGCGGUGCAGGAUGAGCCCGCGGCCUAUCAGCUUGUUGGUGAGGUAAUGGCUCACCAAGGCGACGACGGGUAGCCGGCCUGAGAGGGCGACCGGCCACACUGGGACUGAGACACGGCCCAGACUCCUACGGGAGGCAGCAGUGGGGAAUAUUGCACAAUGGGCGAAAGCCUGAUGCAGCGACGCCGCGUGAGGGAUGACGGCCUUCGGGUUGUAAACCUCUUUCAGCAGGGAAGAAGCGAAAGUGACGGUACCUGCAGAAGAAGCGCCGGCUAACUACGUGCCAGCAGCCGCGGUAAUACGUAGGGCGCGAGCGUUGUCCGGAAUUAUUGGGCGUAAAGAGCUCGUAGGCGGCUUGUCGCGUCGGUUGUGAAAGCCCGGGGCUUAACCCCGGGUCUGCA
rnacentral:rRNA from 1 species